CGAACGGGUGAGUAACACGUAACCAACCUACCCUCGAGAUCGGAAUAACCACUGGAAACGGUGGGUAAUGCCGGAUGGACCCUGGAGAAGGCAUCUUCACCAGGAUAAACGGUGGCUCUGCUGCUGUUCGGGGAGGGGGUUGCGGCCUAUCAGCUUGUUGGUGGGGUAACGGCCUACCAAGGCAAUGACGGGUAGCCGGUCUGAGAGGACGAUCGGCCACACUGGGACUGAGACACUGCCCAG
rnacentral:rRNA from 1 species